UACGUAGGCAGCAAGCGUUGUUCGGAAUUACUGGGCGUAAAGAGUGUGUAGGCGGUUUUCUAAGUUUGGUGUGAAAUCUCCCGCUUAACUGGGAGGGUGCGCCGAAAAACUGGAAGCUUGAGUGCCGGAGAGGAUAGCGGAAUUCCGUGGUGUAGCGGUGAAAUGACGUAGAUAUCAGGAGGAACACCUGCGGUGUAGACGCUAUCUGGACGGCCACUGACGCUGAGACACGAAAGCGUGGGUAGCAAACAGG
rnacentral:rRNA from 1 species